UUGGCAAACGCUAUAUCCUUGUGAUAUAGAGGAAAGUCCAUGCUCACACAGCCUGCGAUGACUGUAGUGUUCGUGCUAGAGGAAAAAAUAACUCUAGGUAACAUAUGAUGUUAACGGCGGCGAAGUAACCUAAACCUUUGGUAUGGUUAUUGUAGCCAUAAAGUGUCAAAGUGACGAUGAAACUGGAAACGGUGGAAGUGGAACGUGAUAAACCCCGCGAGUGAGAAACUCAAAUUUGGUAGAGGAGCUUUAACGAAGGAAUUGAACUGAGUUAGGGACUAGGUAACUAGUAGAUAAAUGUUUGCUGCCUAGAAAUAGGAACAGAACAUGGCUUAU
rnacentral:RNase_P_RNA from 1 species